rnacentral:rRNA from 1 species
UACGUAGGGUGCAAGCGUUAAUCGGAAUUACUGGGCGUAAAGCGUGCGCAGGCGGUUAUGCAAGACAGAUGGGAAAUCCCCGGGCUCAACCUGGGAACUGCAUUUGUGACUGCAUAGCUAGAGUACGGUAGAGGGGGAUGGAAUUCCGCGUGUAGCAGUGAAAUGCGUAGAUAUGCGGAGGAACACCGAUGGCGAAGGCAAUCCCCUGGACCUGUACUGACGCUCAUGCACGAAAGCGUGGGGAGCAAACAGG